rnacentral:rRNA from 1 species
UGGGGGAAUAUUGGGCAAUGGACGCAAGUCUGACCCAGCAACGCCGCGUGAGCGAAGAAGUAUUUCGGUAUGUAAAGCUCUAUCAGCAGGGAAGAAAAUGACGGUACCUGACUAAGAAGCACCGGCUAAAUACGUGCCAGCAGCCGCGGUAAUACGUAUGGUGCAAGCGUUAUCCGGAUUUACUGGGUGUAAAGGGUGCGUAGGUGGCAAGGCAAGUCUGAAGUGAAAUCCGGGGCUCAACUCCGGAACUGCUUUGGAAACUGUUUAGCUAGAGUACAGGAGAGGUAAGUGGAAUUCCUAGUGUAGCGGUGAAAUGCGUAGAUAUUAGGAGGAACACCAGUGGCGAAGGCGACUUACUGGACUGCUACUGACACUGAGGCACGAAAGCGUGGGGAGCAAACAGGAUUAGAUACCCUGGUAGU